rnacentral:misc_RNA from 1 species
AAACAUCUAUUUCUUUUUUUUUUUGUGGCAUAUAAAUUUUUUGACUUCACCUUUUUUAAAAUAUCUUUUAUUAUGAUACACAAACAUGUAGUAAUAACCUUUUUCUUUUUUUUUUUUAAUUCCAUCUAAUAAGUGACUGCUUUUCAUAUUGAAGCAUUGCAACAAUAUAAGCAAAACUUCAAAGAACAAAUCUAGAUGGCCAGCUCCAAAAAUUUAAUGCCAAAAUGAAAUUCAUGAGUUCAGCCUCCUAACUGCUUAUACUCAACUCAACUCAACUCA